UUGAUGAUGCACAACACACAUACAUACAUAUAUAAAUAUAUUUAUAUAUAUAGUUUUGUAUGCAAGGUAUGACUGUGGCAAUUCGUGGAAUCUGGGCUGACAAAUGACAGGCAACAGGGCGAAAGGAUGUACAAAAGCUAGGCACAAAGACUUCCGGCCCAGUUCAUCAGAAGAAGCGGCGGCAAAGCUCUAAAGACACUCGCCAAUGUCCGCCAUCUUGGCAAGAGGUGAGCUGAGCUGAGAUUGAUGCCAGCAACAUGAAGCAGGCAACUAGCAACUAGCAACCAGCAACAAGAAACGGCCAACUGGCAACUAGCAGCAAACAGGCGACAGUGAUAGUGAUUGAAGGACAGCUGUUCACACUAGCUAGCUAGCAGUUAAGCAGGCUAAAGCGAAAUGUCAAAUUAGAAUGCGAAACGUGUUGGCAAUGGGAAUGCUGAGGAGUUACUGCAACAACAACAACAGCAGCAGCAGCUGGACAAUGGAGUUGGUUGCUGCAAUUGGCGGCACCUUUGGCUUCGGCAUGCAAAGUAGCCAGGCAAGCAAAAGCUAGCCAGUUAGCAAGGCAGCCAGUGAGGCGACAACGGCGACUGUUGCUGCAGUGCAAAUUAAUUGAAGCAUCGCAGCAAUGUCAACGACAGCAGCAGCAACAUCACGUGUUGCAUGUUGCAUUCGGCGUAGGCAGCCACAGUCGAACUCCAAGACACAGUGAGAGUUGAAGUCAGAGUCGGAAUCGGAGUCGGAGUCGGCUUUGGGGGCCAGUGGCAGGCACAUUCUUAUAAUUAUGUCAUUUAAUUAAGCAAAGACAGUUUGCCGUUGAAACGACUAAUUAAAACAUCGCGCCAGCAGCCGUUGUGGCAGCAGCAGCAGCAGCAGCCUCAACAUGUGCAACGCGGGCGGUGGCAAAAAAACAAAACAAAAAACACAAGUGAAAAAACACAAACGAAUGAAAAACUAUAUGAAUGACCGGCCACUGUCGAAUGCAAUAAACAAUAUGCAAGAGCAGUAGCUACAAUAGCUCCGCAACAGGCACAACAGCAACAACAAACAGUUGCCGCUGCAUCAUACGAUAUAGAGAAUGCUUCCAAGAAUUUGGGUCAUAAUUAAUGUGGCAUGAUUUCAAGACAUUUUAAUCAAAGCGAAUUGAGAGGGCAAUAGCAACGGCAGCAGCAACAGCCACAGCAACCGCAUCAACAGCAGCAACAACUUGCAACUUGCAACAGUGGCACACAAGCUCAAGGUUUGUAAUACCUUUGAAAAGUGUCACACACACGAAACUACACUCACACACACACACAAGCAUAAGCUGCUAUAUACACGCAAAAGCGUUCGCAUUUAAAGUCACAUCAAUCAUACGCAGCGGUGGCCCAGCUGUUCAAUUGCAAUACCAUAACUCAUUUUUAUAGGCCGCCGCCACGCUCCCAGUGCCCAGUUCGCUGAAAACUUGCGCACCGGGAUUAAGAUUUGCGGCCGAGAUUCCGGGCCAUGCCCAGACCGAAGUCGCAGUCAGUAAAUUACAACAACUAUUACACACAUUACUUCUUUCAGUGUGUCUGUGUGUGUGUGUAUGUGUGUGCGAGACCGUGCCUGACUGUCUGCGACGAGUUGGAGUUGAAUCCAGAGAGCAGCCUGCAGCCUGUCUAUGACUAUGUUCGCUAUUUGGCUUUUGUGCUUUUGUGUUGGCCGUGUUGUAAUUUCUUGGAAAUUUCUGUUUUAUGCGCGCACAACUUGGGCCACUCGCGAAAUUUAUGAGAGUGGAGCGUACCAAGUGCAACUAUGCAACACCUGGUAGCCAGGAAGCGACUCAACUCCUGCCAUGGACUUUACCUCAACUUCAACUUGCCCCCAAGCAACUCAGCACAAAUUGCAUUGACUGCUUGCUUGGGAUCUGAAUAGACUUUGAUAUCCCUUCUGAAUGGUCCCGCAUUUAUUUGAUAUCCCUUUUGUGACUUUGCCACUGUGCGUGACAUUUGCGUGGAGUGCGCCAAGAGUUGUGUGGGAACAUUUUCUCCAAGCGUUGCAAAAAAGUUGUUUGCAAAUAUUGUCAAAAAAAAGUAAUAUAGGCGUGCUACUCAUACUCAUAGCUGCUAUCCCAUUCCUACUGCAAUCUCAAGCACAAUCUAAUCUGCAGCUGUGCGAGUGCAACAGCUAUACGCACAAUGUUGCACCGUUAGCUUUUUUGCUGUGUGUUUUUGCAGUUGCUCAACUGUUAAAAUAGAUGCAGCUAAAUGAGAGGCAAUUAAAUAAUUCAUUUUAGCUGCAAUGAGCUGCUAAUUAUAUAAGAGUAUAUAUAAAUAAAAAUGUAAAAUAAAUAGGAAUUCGCCUUAAAUUGAAAACUUAGAAAUCUAUCUAGUGAUCCCGAUAAGAAAGUCAAGUUUAUCGUAAAAUAUAAAUUGCUAAGAACAAACGCAAAGUUGUGCCAAGUUUGUUGUGUCCCAUAUUGCAGACCACGUGUUUGUAUGUACCACAAAUAUAUAUAUAUAUAUUUGUAUGUAUAUAUAUAUAUGUAUGUCUGCAUAUAUCUUUUUCAUCGUAAAGGCAGCCAAGAAAUAAGAAAUGAGCAGCAAACAAUAAAUACGCGAACAAAGUUAUGUGGCGGACAAAACCAAAAUAUAGAGAGAGAGAAAAAAAACAAAACAAAAAAACCAACAAAGUUAUUGCCAAAUUUGCGGCAUGUUUGCUUUUGAAAUUUAAAUUUCACAUGGCUGUUGUUGUCGUUUUUAUGGCUUGUAUCAUAAAAAUCUCUCUGUGUGUGUGCCAAGUGUGUGUGUUUAAGUGUGUGUUUAGAGAGUGUGUGUAAGUGAGCGCGUCAAAAUCCAUUAAACUGCAUUCGCAUAUGCUCAAAAUGCUUGUAAGUCUGCGUGUGUAUGUAAAUGAGACUACAGCCCCAACACACACACACACACACGCACACUGAUACACACACCCCCCGCUUUAUGGGUCGGGUUAGUUCGGUAUUUAGGCUGCCCCAAAUGUUAAACACAACAGAGCAAAAGCACCACACAAAAAAAAAAAAACACAACAGCGAUCAUAACGACAACUAAAUUGAGUUACUGUAAAUUUGAGUCUUUGACAAGUCUGGCAACGGACUCAUCCCAAAUGUGACACAUGCAGACUAAUGAAUUUUAAAAUCAACGCUCGCCACAGGUGCCCCCUUUAAAAAAAAAAAAACAUACAAAAAUGUAGCCACUCCAUGUCGAGAGUUCGAAUCCGCUUGAGCAGCCGACAAACUGUCUGUCAAAGUGGCAAACAAAGCUGCGCGAUUUGAAUGCUCGUUUUGAGUGCAUGAAUGAAUUACAGCACAGCACAGCACAGCAGCAAGUCUCCAGCAGCCACAGUCUCCAGCCUGGGGAUCAGGUCCCCCAAGAUACUAUAGUGAGUUCGUUUCGGAUGCGAAAUCCAUGAAAUCAAAUCAAGCAUCAAUAAAGUCGGCAUAUGAAUAACAUGAAUUAAACAUAAAUGCAAAAAGGCCAAGAAGCCGAGAGCUGAUUGAUCACUUGCAGCCACUUGCACCCGCUUAGGCUGACUCCUAAUGCCCCGCUGCUGCUCCUCCCUGCUGUUGCCAGUGCAACAAUCACGUCAGGGCUUGCUUCACAUUCCGUGGCUCAACGAAAAAUUUUAAAUUAAAAUUUUCGCACACUCAAAGAGCAGGAAAUAAAUCCAACGGCAGCAGCAGCAGCAGCCGCAUCGAUGCAUGUCACGUCCGUCUCUCCGUCUCGAUUUUACGUGGAACUGUCAAAAUGCAAGCAAAAGCUGCGCUCAACGGCAAUAACAAUGGCAAUGGCAGUGCAAUGCUAAGUGCCAAGUGAAAAUGGAUUUUUGGGGAGUCAACUGUCAAAACUGACAGCAGCAACAACAGUUACAGUGGCACCCACUUUUUUUUUCCUCCACCAAAUUGAAAAUUAACUUAGCGGAACUCUGAAAUUUGGGCUGCAACGUCUCACUCUUUGUUGGCCCCGAAAAAAAAAAUUGUGGCCACAUUUUCAUAACAACAAUUUUUGAGACGUAGGCGUGUGAAUCUAGAACAGUGGCAACAAAUUGCGCGCAAUUAGAAAACAUGGAGCUGCAGUUAAAGUACAAGACUCUACAAGCUGGGAAAAUUUGGUAAUAAAGUGUUUGAUAUAUACUAUACAAGGGAUGGAAACUGGUGAGCUGACUAUCUACGCCCCUUCUUCGGCCAACAGCCAACAGGAAACGUGUAACAUAAAAAAAGGCGCGAAGCAAUCGAUUUGUGGGCUGUAGCACAGACAAUGGGGGGCGGCCAUCUCAACCCUCCCCACUGGCCAAAAACACACACAUGGAGGGGUGUGCGAGUGAAACUCCCCCCAAACGCAUUCAUUAAAAACGCAUUAGAAAUGACAUUAGGACAAAUAUAGCCACGGCGCGCCACUAAAAUUACCUAAACAAUACAUAAAACAUAAACCUCAAAUCACUUUGAUUCAUUUGCUGGUGGGGAUUGGGCACUAUGGAGGGUUGGUUUGGGUUGAAUUGGGUUGUACUUACUGUGCUG